rnacentral:lncRNA from 1 species
GGAGCCUGGAGCGGGGGCGGGGACUUGAACAUUCCAGGCUCUGUGAACUAAGUGACUGAAGCUGAUUGACACAGGUCAAGGGGACUUCAAGGAAGAAAGCCAGCCUUAGACUGACAUCAGAGAACCAAACUCCGGUGUCUAAGCUCAAGUAAUACAAGUAAUUGGGAAGACACUGGCUCAGAGCCUGUCUCUGGUGACCACUGAAUUGUCCAGCACCUGAGGUCCCUGGAGCCCACGGACUGAGCCCAUCUGGGCUAAAAGAGGUCCCAUACAUCCUUCUCAAAGGCCUAUAUAAAUGCCAAGCAGAGUUAUAGCAGGAGGUUAGAAUCCUGAGAACUGUUUGGAAUAAGGAAUCCAAAUAUUGUCUUCCAGCUUCACCUUGUCACGACAGUCCUCGCCAGGGACAGCUGAGCUCCCAUGGCGCCUCUCUCGAUACGUGGCCUCUUCUGAUACUUACCUCAGCUUGGACACAGCUCUCUGAAGAUCAUCUACAUCUCCAUUUAUGCCGUGUGCACGCAGUACCAACAGAGGUCAGAGGAGGGUGUCGGAUCCCCUGGAACUGGAGUCACAGAUUCUUCCUUGCGUGGAUGAAACAGUCCCAACGAACACUUUAAAAAGACAAAUGUUCCCGACAGCACUGGUUGAAUUCAAAACUCGGCAGAUCCAUGUUCUUAUCCUUAGACAAGAGAGGGGCCAUAACAAGAUGGAAUGACGGAACAGACGUGAGAGAUGAUGGUACAGUGACUCGGGUAACCCCAGAAAAGGGACAGCUCUUCUACAGCUCAGUGGGGACAGGGACAAAAAGAAACAAUUUCAUUUCAGUCCACCCAGAGGGUCUGCACUUCUCGGAGCCAGAAGGUGGAGAAGAGUAGGGAUGGAGGAAGUUCGAAGUUUUAGGAGUCUGCUCUUGGGUCCCUAGGCAUGAGGACAAGCUUUUCCUGUACUCAAUGCUCAUCUCUCAGUUGUGCCCACAUUGGUACACAUUACUUGCUUUCAACUGCUGCUGCUGCUGUUUCCUAAUUCAAUAAAGAUAUGGCUGGCUCAGCAGAGAGCUGUCAUCCA